CCUACGGGAGGCAGCAGUGAGGAAUAUUGGUCAAUGGGCGCGAGCCUGAACCAGCCAAGUAGCGUGAAGGAUGACUGCCCUACGGGUUGUAAGCGUCUUUUAUAAAGGAAUAAAGUGAGGCAAGUGUGCGUUUUUGGAUGUACGUUAUGAAUAAGGAUCGGCUAACUCCGUGCCAGCACCCGCGGUAAUACGGAGGAUACGAGGUUUAUCCGGAUUUAAUGGGUUGAAAGGGAGCGUAGAUGGGUUGGUAAGUCAGUUGUGAAAGUUUGCGGCUCAACCGUAAAAUUGCACUUGAUACUGGCAGCCUUGAGUUCAGUUGAGGUAGGCGGAAUUCGUGGUGUAGCGGUGAAAUGCUUAGAUAUCACGAAGAACUCCGAUUGCGAAGGCAGCUUACUAAGCUGCCACUGACAUUGAUGCUCGAAAGUGUGGGUAUCAAACAGGAUUAGAUACCCCUGUAGUC
rnacentral:rRNA from 1 species